UACAGAGGUCCCGAGCGUUGUUCGGAUUCAUUGGGCGUAAAGGGUGCGUAGGUGGCGCCGUAAGUGGGGUGUGAAAUCCCGGGGCUUAACCCCGGGACUGCAUUCCAUACUGCGGUGCUUGAGGACUGGAGAGGAGACUGGAAUUUACGGUGUAGCAGUGAAAUGCGUAGAUAUGCGGAGGAACACCGAUGGCGAAGGCAAUCCCCUGGGCCUGCACUGACGCUCAUGCACGAAAGCGUGGGGAGCAAACAGG
rnacentral:rRNA from 1 species